rnacentral:rRNA from 1 species
UACGGAGGGUGCAAGCGUUAUCCGGAUUCACUGGGUUUAAAGGGUGCGUAGGUGGGCAGGUAAGUCAGUGGUGAAAUCUCCGGGCUUAACUCGGAAACUGCCGUUGAUACUAUCUGUCUUGAAUAUCGUGGAGGUUAGCGGAAUAUGUCAUGUAGCGGUGAAAUGCUUAGAUAUGACAUAGAACACCGAUUGCGAAGGCAGCUAACUACACGAUCAUUGACACUGAGGCACGAAAGCGUGGGGAGCAAACCGG